AUGCCCUCGGCAGCAGCAGUCCGAGAGGUCGGAGCCAAGAAAGGAACAGAGGAACAGAGCCGCGCCCUGUGGGCGCGCCGGCUGACGGCCUCGUGGAGGAGGCGGCGCGGGGCGCGACAGCGGACGGGAGCCGGGAGGGAUGCAGCCGUCUUCCUCGCGCCGAGGGGAGCUGCUGUUCGGGGAUCUCUGGGAAAUCAACGAGGGCGCCACCUGAAGAUCUCCAUGGCCAGCGCCGCGGAGCUCAGGUACCUGCGCCUGCCCGCUGAUGGAAUGGCCGUAGCCGCACGCCGAGACGCGGAUGCCGCGGGCCGACCCGUGCGCCGGUCGGACCAGCGCGGUGGCAUCGCCUGCCCCGCUCGGCUGGUACACGGCCAAGGGCUUGCCCCCUGUGAAUUCGAGUUCGAGUUCAUUUCCAGUUCAGCCGGAGACAGCUGGUAA
rnacentral:rRNA from 1 species